rnacentral:lncRNA from 1 species
GUCUUCUGGCAUGUACUGAAAUCAACAGAAGCUUCAAUGGCAGAAGAACAUGACAAUACUGAAGAAUUGGAAUGAUGGCUUGGUAUUUGCAAAAAUAGUAAUGUUCAUCUUGAUCUGAAAAUGUUCCUGACCACCAGAGAAGAGGCUCAAGGAGGAACAGAAGACUUCUUUUCACUCAUGAGACUGGCUAAUAGAGUCUACUGUAUUUUAACAAACAUCUGUUUUUCCAUAAG